CGUUCAUUCGUAAGCAUACAUUCAGAACAAACUGAGCCUUAAUACAAAUUGUUGACGAAAUGUUAGCUUUGGUGUUAAAAGUUCCAUAACUCUAGGAUGAUCAAUACGAAUAUCUUGGGAGACGAUCGACAUAUACAAUAUCCAACUGAUGGCCAACCUACAAUUGAUAGGAAAUUGAAAGUGGUUUUGCGUUUAAUUGAAGGAAUUGCAAACUGGUGCUCACAAGAAAUCAUUGACUGUGAAAGUCCAAUAACUGUAGAAUACUAGUUACAUGUUAAGGAAUAGUUAAUAUG
rnacentral:lncRNA from 1 species